rnacentral:rRNA from 1 species
GACGAACGCUGGCGGCGUGCUUAACACAUGCAAGUCGAACGAUGAAGCCGGAGCUUGCUCCGGUGGAUUAGUGGCGAACGGGUGAGUAACACGUGAGCAAUCUGCCCUUGACUCUGGGAUAACUGCGGGAAACUGUAGCUAAUACCGGAUACGACACCUUGGGGCAUCCCAGGGUGUGGAAAGAAUUUCGGUCAAGGACGAGCUCGCGGCCUAUCAGCUAGUUGGUGAGGUAAUGGCUCACCAAGGCGACGACGGGUAGCCGGCCUGAGAGGGUGACCGGCAACACUGGAACUGAGACACGGUCCAGACUCCUACGGGAGGCAGCAGUGGGGAAUAUUGCACAAUGGGCGAAAGCCUGAUGCAGCAACGCCGCGUGAGGGAUGAAGGCCUUCGGGUUGUAAACCUCUUUUAGCAGGGAAGAAGCGAAAGUGACGGUACCUGCAGAAAAAGCACCGGCUAACUACGUGCCAGCAGCCGCCGUAA